rnacentral:sRNA from 1 species
GGCUUUCCGCAGUGAACUCGGGGGCACUAUCCUCGGUACCCAGAUGCCCACCUGUGUGCCACUCCCCUCCCAAGCCAGCCCCUGGGCCCCUGAGCUCUGUUACCUGCAGCGAACUCCUCGAUGGUCAUGAGUGGGAAGCGAAUGAGGCCCAGGGCCUUGCCCAGAACCUUCCGCCUGUUCUCUGGCGUCACCUGCAGCUGCUGCCGCUGACACUCGGCCUCGGACCAGCGGACAACGGCAUUGAACAGCCGCACCUCACGGAUGCCCAGUGUGUCGCGCUCCAGGACAGCCACCAGCGUGUCUGCGGGGUGGAGGAAGGGGCUGCGUGAACACGACACCCGUGUGCCCACCCUGCAGGAGGCAGUGAGACUAACGUGAGGACCAGCAGUUAAAGCUGAGCUGGCAACUACGGCCCGUGGCCCAAACCUGGCCCUGUGCUUGUGUUUAUAAAUAAAGCUUUAUCAACACAA